GCUUCCUACGGGAGGCAGCAGUGGGGAAUUUUGGACAAUGGGCGCAAGCCUGAUCCAGCAAUGCCGCGUGAGUGAAGAAGGCCUUCGGGUUGUAAAGCUCUUUUGUCAGGGAAGAAACGGCCGAGGCUAAUACCUUUGGCUAAUGACGGUACCUGAAGAAUAAGCACCGGCUAACUACGUGCCAGCAGCCGCGGUAAUACGUAGGGUGCAAGCGUUAAUCGGAAUUACUGGGCGUAAAGCGUGCGCAGGCGGUUUUGUAAGUCUGACGUGAAAUCCCCGGGCUCAACCUGGGAAUUGCGUUGGAGACUGCAAGGCUGGAGUCUGGCAGAGGGGGGUAGAAUUCCACGUGUAGCAGUGAAAUGCGUAGAGAUGUGGAGGAACACCGAUGGCGAAGGCAGCCCCCUGGGUCAAGACUGACGCUCAUGCACGAAAGCGUGGGGAGCAAACAGGAUUAGAUACCCUGGUAGUCCACGCCCUAAACGAUGUCUACUAGUUGUCGGGUCUUAAUUGACUUGGUAACGCAGCUAACGCGUGAAGUAGACCGCCUGGGGAGUACGGUCGCAAGAUUAAAAACUCAAAGGAAUUGACGGAAGC
rnacentral:rRNA from 1 species